UUAAUUCCAUUUCUACUAUUUUUAGUGAUUUUUCAAAUUCACAUAAUUGCUACUGUCUGAUUCUGUUUUGUACUAAUUUCACCUUUUAUGGUUUUCCAUGGAGUAGGUAAUACAUUAAGCAUACAUAACACUAAAUAUAAAUUUUGAUUAGCCAUUCCAAUAGCUAAUCAUCAACAAGCAUUUCCACAUCACUCAUUCACCAUAUCAUAAGAUUAUAUACACAAAAGGAUUAUAAUGCUAUACAUGUCAUAUUCCCAAAAUAUGCAAGCCACUAUACCGAGAUGAUCCGUUGAUAGUAUGAGCAUGCCUCCGACCGUUCUGAUCUCCAAGCCAACUUAUCAAAACUACAAGGAAUGGAAGGGAGGGAGUAAGCAUAAAUGCUUAGUAAGUUCACAUGUAAAUAGCAGGUAACAUAACCAUGCAAUAAUACGAAGUCCACAUUUGCAUAAUAUCACCAAAGCAUUCAUAUCAUAUUUCUCAUUUAUGAUCUUACCAUAUUAUUGUUAUAUUGAAGUCUCAACCCGAAGGUUAAGUACAUACCUGUACAAAGUAUUCAUUCCACAACAAUUACCAACAAGUCACUUUCAUCUCGAGAAUUCUUCCAUUUCACUAGAAUUUUACCCGUUGAACACAAUCGGAAUAUAAUUCGGAUAUACGGAUUUUAUGCACGUAAGUGCCAUACCUGCAGCUAGACAAAUCAAUAGCCUGCGGAAAUUAUGUAGCCAAGCUACCAUGUAACCCGCCCAUAAGUGAACUCGGACUCAACUCAACGAGCUCGGGCGUUCGCAUCCAUAAGUGAACUCGGACUCAACUCAACGAGCUCGGAUGCCUAGUUACAUCUCACGAACUCGGACUCAACUCAACGAGUUCGGAACUCAAAUAUCCUAGUGACAUGUCACUUGUAUCCUAAUCUAUUCCCAAGGUUCAAACGGGCUUUUUCCUCGAUUACACAUCUUUGCCCUCUUCCACGGAAUGUCGAAACCGAUACUCGGUAGCAAUUCAUAUUUAACAAGUAGCACACAUAAUUUGCAUAUUACUCAAUAAUAACCACAAAGCAUAAUAUUUCAUGAUAUUAAUCAUCAUAUCAUAUAAAUAACAUUAAAUUACUUAAAAUGAAAAUUAUGUUAUUACAUUUACACAUGAACUUACCUCGUAUGCGAAAAUGGUCAUUUUUACCAUUUUGUCCACAACUUGGUAUUUUGCUGAUUUUAACCCGAAUUUCGAUUUUCCUUUCUCUAUCAUUUCAAAUAUAGCCUAAUUAGGACUCAUAUUAUUCAAAUCAACCCAAAAUCAUAUUUUGGAAAAUUACAAUUUUCCCCUAAACUUUUACAUAUUUGCACUUUUGCCCCAAUGCUCGUAAAUUAAACUUCAUCCUAUUUUCUUAUGUUUUAUGACAUGCUGGUCAUUUUUCCCUUCUAUGGCAACAUCAAAUUCUCACUCUAACAUGUACUUAUUACUAUUAGGUAUUUUUACCAAUUAAGCCCUUUUACUCGUUUUCACUUAAAAUAGAGUAGCACAAGUUGUCUAACAUAAUUUAAAACCUCAUAUUCUAUCAUAAAACAUAAAAAUACACAAAUUUUACCUAUGAGUAUUUUUUCAAUUAUGAACCCUAGGUUGAAUUAUUGCUAGCAUAAGCUAAAUCGAGCUGCCGGGAUUUCGAAAACGUAAAGAACAUUAAAAACGGGGCUUGGAAUCACUUACUAUGGAGCUUGAAAGCUUGAAACAAACCCUAGCUAUGGAGAACCCUUGAAAUUUCGGC
rnacentral:lncRNA from 1 species